GACCUCAGUUCAGGUGAGAUUACCGGCUGAAUUUAAGCAUAUUACUAAGCCGAGGAAAAGAAACUAACAAGGAUUCCCCUAGUAGCAGCGAGCGAACAGGGAAGAGCCCAGCGCUGAAUCCCCCGGGCCUCGCUCGGCGGGAAAUGUAGCGUUUGGGAGGGCCCGUCAACACGGCGACUCGCUCACUGGUUCAAGUCCAACUUGAAUGGGGCCACACAGAGGGUGACAGGCCCGUAGAGCAGGAGCGGUUGUCGUGUGGGUCUCUCCUUAGAGUCGGUUUGCUUGAGAGUGCAGACUUAAGUGGGUGGUAAACUCCAUCUAAGGCUAAAUAUGACCACGAGACCGAUAGCACACAAGUACCGUGAGGGAAAGGUGAAAAGAACUUUGAAGAGAGAGUUCAAGAGUACGUGAAACUGAAGUGGUGUAAACGGACGAGUUCGAAAAGUCCGAAUGGUGAGAUUCAAGCUUACCGUGCCGGUGGCCCUCGGGUUCAGAUGGCGUCGUCAGCUCGGGCUUCGGUUCGGGUCAUACGGCGUCACUCGUCCUGGGGGUAUCUGUCUGGUGCGGUGGGCUGCACUUCUCGCCUAGUAGGACGUCGCGACCCGUUGGGAUGUUCCGUUCACUGGCCCCUGGUGGAGCCCGCGCCGGAGCGUGGCCUUGUGCCGCGUUGCUGUUUGCACGGACCCGGGGUGACCUGAUCGGCGCCCGACGGUAUCAAAGCUUGGGAAGAGGCCGCACAGAGGAUGCGUUCGAUGGCCGUUUCGGCCUACACUCGGACAGGCCUGCACCCGGUCAGCGGCGCU
rnacentral:rRNA from 1 species